CAGUAAAAAGUUUUCUCUAUGGAAUAUAUCAUUUCAUCUCCAACAUAAAACACUCAAGAAGAGACUGAGGCAGAGCAAGGAGUCACGUGAGCCUGUUUCUAACAGCUUGCAGAUUGGUGAGGGGCUGUGGAGAGUGGCGGGACACCAGCAGCUACAGCAGGAAGGCCAUAGAGAGCCCAGCUACUUCAGCAGACAGCAGAGCAGGGUGAUCGUCAAACACCGGUCGUCUUCGUAAACAAGUCCAGGGAGGCAUUGAUAUGUAUCAUCCUUUGAAGGCACAGGAAGCUAAAGAUCAGGAAAAAUUCAUUAAUCUGGAAAUGGCCCCGAGCUAAGCUUUACCCUCUUGUCCUACCUGAAUGCAACGGACUUCUGCCUAGGGUCAUGCGUUUGGCAGGACCUUGCAAAUGAUGAACUUCUCUGGCGAGAGUUGUGUCAAU
rnacentral:lncRNA from 1 species